CGGGGCGCUAUGGAAACAUCAGACCCAACAAGAAAUGUACGACAGAUGUGAAGUCCAGAGCUUUCUUUACUUUCCUAGCGAGUCACUUGAAUGAGACUAGCAGGAGCCGACCCACGUGGGCCUCAGGGAAAGGACCAUCCCUGGCAGCAGGAGCCUAGUCCCCUGGGAGGAGGAGGAGACUGCCUGAAGUGGCCUUGUUCGGUGAACAGCCUUCACAACUGUGACAAGCGGCCCUGAUUGGAGGAAGACCAGUCCCAAAUGCUGUGGAAGAUGAGGGCUCAUAAGGAGCUAAGUGAAGAGGCCACACUUGAGCAGGCAGCCCUCCCACCUUUUCUCAUCAGUGCCCUCUGAGUGGAAGAGAAGUAGAAACUUCUCGGUUGGUACUCUUCUGGCUCCCCAGGGGCCAACAGAGGCUUCCCGGAGCUAGGCAUGAAACCACUGAGGAUCCUCACAGUUUCAAACUGAGCAGACCCCGCUGUAUUCUGUGAAGCCUCAUGGAUGCUCUCAGACUGGCCUAAUCAGAUGGAGGAGGCAAGCGAGAUCACAGACAAAACUGCCAGGGAUGUAAGUAUCCGGGUGAGGAGGGUGGUCUGUAAUGGAUGCAGGGAAGCAAGAAAAGAAAGUGGGAGAGAGAGACACGUUGAGAAGACAGUGUAUCUGCAUCAGAUCAUCGUAGGGCCCUGCCGCUUACAGAAGAAAUCAAGAGGAGUGAGGCUCUCUGGUCCCUCAGGGAGAAGGGCUGGUGGAAGGGCAGGUGGCAGAUACACAUGGGGAGGGCUGACCUGCCAGCAAGGUGAGAUAAAUCUGAAAAAUAAGUUUUACCAUACUCUUUACAUUGAAGCGUAUCGCUGAGUAAUUUGGUGGCAUGAUAUGGAGGGGAGCAGAAAUUAUAACUUAUUAGUCAGACAGGAGUCAAUGUUUCUGCUUAUUUGUAUGUGUGGGCUUUUCCCAUUCCCGGCCAGUUCUUCCUUCUGCCAUGUGUACCCAGGUUAUUCUUUUAUACACAUGGUCUCUGUAUCCAUUCUUACUGCAAGAUCAAAAGGGAAAAUUAUUCCCAAAGCACUGUUCUUGGACACUGAAUGUCAUCAAACAUCAAACAGAAUUGUUUCAACGUUUCUAUUUUUUUUUUUAUCAUCUCUUACCUUUUGCUUGUUCGAAGAGGCAGUUCAUCUUUAUUUUCAUUUAGAGGUA